AAUAUCUUCUCCGUGCCUGACACUGUAUACAAAGGGAGACCUGCUGGCAGCACUCGGAUAUUUUUGGUGAACUCCGCUCAGGUGUGCUGAAGACGUAAAUUGCCAUUAGAACACUCCCAGGGGAUUCAGAUCCUGGCAAUCAGUUUUUGCUUUUGGCUCCUCCUCUGCAAUAAGGGCUUGAAACGCUCAAGACACCAACACACACCAACUUGGACUUCAGGGCUGGAAACACAGGAGCCCUCCCUCUGAUCAGCUCCUGUCCUGCUCCAACAGCACCAAGAAUGGGCCGAGGUGAGAACAUGGGACACCUGACUCAAGCCAGUCACAGGCAGAAGACGCAACAGGAGCCUCUGGACGUAGAUCCUUUGUUUAUCCGCUUUCUCCGGACAUUCAAAGAAAUCCUCAAAUUUGUUCUCUUCAGCUACACGGUGCUGUUUGGUGCUUUGCUCCUUGCAAGAUGGACCACUUAUUUUAUGGUGGGAAAGUAAAAUGAGAACAACCACUAACGAAUGAGCCUGUUCUUGGACUCAGCGCUCACAGGCAGACCUUGCUGGGAUUUGUGGUCUAUGCACUUCCUAUAAAACAACAAAAACAGCUGGAGUUAUCGUGUUUCUUCUUUUUUGAUUUGCAUUCUGCAAUAGAGCUCAUGGCUUUUGUACUUUUUUUUUUCUAAAUUAAACUAAACAGGGUGUUUAGAGCAACUCUACAGUGAAACUCAUUUUAAACAUCCCAUGUGUUUGGUGAAAGUGUGUUUAAAUGUGCAAUUUAGGAUCUGUAUGCUGCAAAAUAGACGUUUGUAUGGUUGUGUAGCAUACAGUAAAGCAUUGUAUAUUUGUAACGGAUUAAAAACUGUUUUUUUCUUUAGAAGUGCA